GUGGGGAAUAUUGCGCAAUGGGGGAAACCCUGACGCAGCGACGCCGCGUGAGCGAAGAAGGCCUUAGGGUUGUAAAGCUCUGUUUUAAGGGACGAAUGUCGUGGGGAGUAAUAUGAUCUGCGAAUGACGGUACCUUAAGAGGAAGCCCCGGCUAACUACGUGCCAGCAGCCGCGGGAAGACGUAGGGGGCGAGCGUUGUCCGGAAUUACUGGGCGUAAAGAGCACGUAGGCGGGAACUAAAGUCAGGUGUGAAAGACCGGGGCUCAACUCCGGGGUUGAACUUGAAACUUGGUUUCUUGAUGGCAGGAGAGGAAAGCAGAAUUCCUGUUUUAGCGGUGAAAUGCGUAGAAAUCAGGAGUAAUACCAGUGGUGAAGGUGGCUUUCUGGACUGACCUUGACUCUGUGGUGCGAAAGCGUGGGUAGCAAACAGGAUUAGAUACCCGAGUAGUCC
rnacentral:rRNA from 1 species